rnacentral:tRNA from 1 species
GGGCAAUUAGCUCAGCAUGGUUUAGAGCACCUGUUUUACAAGCAGGGGGGCACUGGUUCAAAUCCAGUAUUGCCCA